CUCAAUAAUACACAUUGGUUAUCAAUUUAGAGCAACAUACAAUUUAAGAAUAUCAAUCAUCAUUAGAUAUUAAUGUAAUCAUCACAAGGAGAUGCACAACACAACAAUGGUCCUCCCACGGAAUCCAAUGCAUUGCUUCUCUAAUGAAACCCACACUCAAACAGUUAGCCUACCGUAACAUGGUAUCCGAUCCAAGUUAGUGUGCCGGAAUGUGACAGCCAAUCUCAUGUUUAUUCCAGAACAUGGCAACCGAUCCCAUAUGUUUACUGGAAUGUGGCAAUCCGAUCCAAGUAUUUAUGAUGGAACGUGGACAUCCAAUCCAAGUUAAUUAUGCAAGAAUGUGGAAAUCCAAUGACAUUCACACACCACAAUCAUAAACACAAAUACAUCAUCAAGAUCAUACAACAUAGGUGAUUCAAGGCAUACAAUUAUUCAAUCAUCCCCAUUCACGAUUAGGGGGACAAAAAUUGCAACAUUCGCAUACAUAUAAGCAUUAUGACGAAGCAAUUACAAAAGUAUAUCACACUAACAUGAAAUCACAACCAUUACCUACCUCGAACCCAAGCUUGAAUCCCCUAAGGAACUUGAAUCUUCCCUUUCCGGAUCCUUUCCACUAGUUUUAGGUCUACAACAAUUAAUAUACGCAAGGAUCAACAAUCAAAGGUCUAAUUAUUCGGAUUAUAUCAAACCCAAUAUCCUAAUACCCAAGAUCCAUCCCUUUCCCAUUUCAAGAUUUUUUUCUCUCUCUAUGCUCUCUCUCUCUCUAGAAUUUUGCUCUUAAGGAUUCUGCCUAAUGGUCACUAAGACCGUAAAUAUACAGUUUCACUGGAAUGUCCAUAGAGCCACCGGCGAUGGUCAUAGGACCUCCAGACCAAAGCGGAAAUAUAUUUACUGAGGAGACGCUUCUUCUCCAACAAGAAUCAACCUCAAAUUCCAACCACAACUCCUUUAAUUUUAAUCACAACACAUUGAUCACUGUUCAUCUUUCUGAAGAGAAGUUACAGUGGGCGCAAGAAAUCAUUCCCAUGGCCAAAUCUGGACUGAUUUAGCUUAUUCCAAUUGAUGGAAAGGAAUCUACACUACAAAAUCUUCUAAUAUCUCAAAAUCAGGCGAUUCUAUUUUACCGUUGAAGAGAUCUGAUCAGGCGAAAUUUUGGGGGAGAAUCGCCAAAAUCGCCUUCGAAUUCACAUGAAGUUUCGCUGGAGAUGACUGAGAUUCAGAAGAAACAAAAUACUAAUUUGGAAUCCCCUCAACUCAUCCCAUACAAAUAUGUAAGUAAUACAUAUGAGAACAGAGGAAAUAAAUUUGGCGAAGAUUCAGGCGAACUCGACGGAGCUCGGGCAAAUAAGAAGCUCGAAGAUGGAGCAAAGAACAACACAAAGAGGCAUGGAUGACUAUUUCGCAACACAGCAAAAGUGGAAAUCCACCUAUGAAAUCGACAGUGCAAAUUGACACAAAUUUUAAAAAAAUUCACAAGGCUGACAAUUCACAUGAUGCCACAAAAAUCAAGACAAGAUGCAACAAUUAAACCAAAAUAACAACAAGGAGGUAAGUUCGAAAAGAAUCAAUUUACAAGCUGAAAAUCCAUAUUCGCGCAGGUGAUUAGCAAAACAAAAAUGGGAAAACAGUUGGGAAAGCCAAGGCCAACAACAGCUCCAAUGAGAUUAACAUUCAACAAAUAAGUCAUGGUACAGAGAACCAUCCAAACAACAGUAAGAAGAACAGGACAGGUAUGUUACUUCAUAACUUGCAAAUGCCCCAUGAUCAUAGUAAUACUCCCUGCAAUAAUAAAAAAGUUGCUAGUCAAAAUGAGCAUGAGAAGGGUAAACACAUCGUGCAGGCUGUUGAAAAGGGGCAGUAUGAGCAACAAAAUAACAAGGAAAACAAUAUAGUGGUUCCUAAAAUACCUCCCCCUAUCAAGGUGUCUUCUUACUUUGAUACUUAAUGACAAAACAUGCAAAAAACCAACCAAAUCAACAACUAGCAACAGCAACACAGAUUUCCUACCAACAACUUUAUUAACAGAAACAACACCACCCAAAUCCCUGAUCCCCCCCCCCCCACUGUGGCACAAAUUCGGGAUUUUUGAAAAGUGGUGACAAUAAGGUUUGAAAAUAAAUGGGUGGUGACAUAAGUCUUAAGUACUGGGUGUAGAUGACAAUUAUGUGAUUAAUGAUUAACGAUUGUGGAGUUGCCCUCAAGUUUAUAAGUUGACAGUUUGGUCCACUGAAUAAAAUGAAGGGUAAAAGGGUAAUUUUUCACAAUAUCUAAUUUAACCAACUUUUGUUGGGAAUUAAAUGAGGGGUAAAAGAGUAAAUUGACUAAACCAAACCUAAUUUAACCAAUUUUGGUGGGAAAUAUUGAGCCAAAAGAGGAAAUAAAAGUUUUUCCCCUCGCCUCCAGCCGUCAUAUUCGUCCUCUUCUUCUCUGUCUUCUUCUUUUUCUUCUGCUGUUGUCUUUUCUUGCUUGCUUGUCUUUCUUCCCUCUCUCUUCAUCAUCAUCUUCUUCUUCUUUUCUUACAUUGUGGGUCUUCGCUGCAAGUGCUUGUGCUUUCUUCUUCUUGAAUCAGAUUUACCUAAUCUGUAACUAGUGGACCAAAUUUCGUUUUGUUUCAAUUGGAAUUACGUCAUAAGCGAUUGGGUUACACACCAUUGUUUCUGGUAAGUAAAAUUAAUAGUUAAUUGAAAUCAAUUCACUAUCAUCUGAUCUGGGUGCCUGCAACUUUUUCAAUAAUUUGCAUUCGCGUUUCCAACAUAUUGUUAUAGAUGUUGCAACAGUUGUCUAUUGUAAAAUAUUAUAGUCAUAUGUAGCAACAUAAAUGUUAUUUCAAUUGCAACAGAACAGUCUUGUUAUAAAUUCUUUGUGAAGACCCAGAUCGUCCUGAUUGGCACUCACACUAACCAUCCGGUGGGAGAACCACUACUAUAACCCAAACUAAGCAACUUAACCAAAACUAAGGCAAUUAAAUUAGGAAAGCAAGUUAAUUAACAAAACAAAUGUGGAAUUAAAUACCUAGAACCUGAAAUUCAAUGUACCAAAUCUCAACUAACGACAGGUCUAAGAACAAGUGGUAAAACCCCGAAACUAAACAACACCUUAAAUAAAUAGUUUGAGUCUGAAGAGAGUGGACUUAAAAAAAGACAACUCAAGGAAGCCUGGAAGAACUAGCUCACCCUUUAAUUCGAAACGAUCACUGAUACUCUAAAUGAGGUAUGUUAAUAGCUGUCGAAGGAUGCCCUAUACUCAACAAAAGUAAGAGCAAGUGCAGUAUCAUCACGCACCCACAAUGUACUGGUAGGACUACGCGGCUAUCCCAAUAAGUGAAACACAUGCAAGUAACCACAACAUUAUGAAAUAGGCAUAUACCAAACCUAUACAAUAUCAUUCAUUUUUUCAGUAUCAAUGUAGCAUUCCAUAUUCUUAAUGAUACACAUUGGUUAUCAAUUUAGAGCAACAUACAUUUUUCCAAUAUCAAUCAUCAUUAGAUAUGAACAUAAUCAUCACAAGUAGAUGCACAACACAAUUCAAUGAUCCUCCCACGGACCCAAUUCAAUGGUCCUCUUAUGGAACCCAUACUCAAACUGCUAGCAUACCAGAACGUGGUAUUCGAUCCAAGUUAGUGUGCUGGAACGUGGCAGCCAAUUUCAUGUUUAUGCUGGAACUUGGCAAUCGAUCUCAUAUGUAUGCCAGAACGUGUCAAUCCGAUCCAAUAUUUAUUUUGGAACGUGGCUAUCUGAUCCAAACGUGGAAAUUCGAUGACAUUUACACAUCACAAUCAUAAACACAAGUACAUCAUCAAGAUCAUACAACAGAGAUGAUUCAUGGCAUACAAUUAUUCAAUUAUCCUCAUUUACGAUUAGGGUGAUCAAUUAUGCAACAUUUGCAUACAUACAUGCAUCAUAAUGAAGCAAUUACAAACAUGUAUUACACCGACAUGAAAUCACAACCAUCACCUACCUUGAAUCCAAGCUUGAAUCCCCAAAGGCACUUGAAUCUUCUCUACAUGGAUUCUUUCCACUCGUUCUAGGUCUACAACAAUUAAUAUACGCAAGGAUCAACAAUCAAAGGUCUAAUUAUUCAGAUUAUAUCAUACCCAAUAACCCAAUAUCCUAAUACCCAAGAUCCAUCCCUUUCCCAUUUCAAGAUUUUUUUCUCUUUCUACGCUCUCUCCCUCUCUAAAAUUUUGCUCCUAAGGAUUCUGCCUAAGGGUCACUAAGAGCGUAAUAUACAGUUCCACCGGAAUGGCCAUAGAGCCGCCGCUGACCAUCAUACGACCUCCAGAGCAAAGCGGAAAUAUACCUAUUGAGGAGACGCUUCUUCUCCAACAAUAAACACCCUCAAAUUCAAACCACAACUCCUCGAAUUUGAAUCACAACGUAGUGAUCACUGUUAAUCUUUCUGAAGAGGAGUUACAGUGGGCACAUGAAAUCAUUUCCAUGGCAAAAUCUGGACUAAUUCAGCUUGUUCCAAUUGAUGGAAAAGAAUCUAAACUACCAGAUCUACCUAAUAUCUCAAAAUCACGUGAUUCUAUCUUUCUGUUUGAGAGAUCUGAUCAAGCGAAUUUUGGGGAGAAUCGCCAAAAUCGCCUUAAAACUCAAAUGAAGUUUCGCCGGAUAUGACUGAGAUUCAGGGAUAACAAAAUACUAAUUUGGACUCGCCUCAACUCAGCGCAUUCAAAUAUGUAAGUAAUACCGAUGAGAACACACGAAAUAAUUUCGGCGAAGAUUCAGGCAAACUCGCCGUUGCUCAGGCAAACAAGAAGCUCGAAGAUGGAGCAAAAAUCAACACAAAGAGGCAAGGAUGACUAUUUUGCAACAGAGCACAAGGGAAAUCCACCUACGAAAUUAACAGUGCAAAAUGAGACAAGUUCUAAGAAAAUUCACAACUUUGGUAGUUCACAUGAUGCUCACAAAGAUCAGGACAAGAUGCAAGAAUUGAACCAAAAUAACAACAAGGAGGUAAGUUCCAAAAGAAUCAAUUUACAAGCUGAAAAUCCGUCUUUGUGCGCAGGUGAUCAGCAAAACAUAAAUGGGAAAGCCAAGGCCAACAGCAACUCCAAUGAGAUUGACAUUCAACAAGUCAACCAUGGUACAGAAAACCAUCCAAACACCAAUAACACGAAAAGGACAGAAGCUUCAUCCAUGACAACAACUCAAUCUACAUGUGCCCCAACAAAAAGGAUAUAUAUGGCAACAUAUGUCACAAAAAGAAGAUAUGUGGCAACAUAUGUAACAGAAAGGAGAUAUGUGGCAACAUAUGCCACAGAAAGAAGAUAUGUGACAACAUAUGUCACAGAAAGAAGAUAUGUGGCAACAUAUGUCACAAAAAAAAUAUAUGUGGCAACAUAAGUCACAGAAAGGAGAUAUGUGUCAACAUUUUAUUGUUACCAAUGUGGUGUCUGUGACAACAUAUAUAACAUUGUUGUAAAAAUAUUAUAAAAUUAUAUGCAGUUACCUCAACACAAAGGAUAUAUGUGACAACAGAUGUCACACUAUGAAUUAUCAAAAAGAAUUAAAAAAAUAAA